UGCCUUAGUAGCGGCGAGUGAAGCGGCAAAAGCUCAAAUUUGAAAUCUGGCUCUUUCAGAGUCCGAGUUGUAAUUUGAAGAAGGUAUCUUUGGGUCUGGCUCUUGUCUAUGUUUCUUGGAACAGAACGUCACAGAGGGUGAGAAUCCCGUGCGAUGAGAUGAUCCAGGCCUAUGUAAAGUUCCUUCGAAGAGUCGAGUUGUUUGGGAAUGCAGCUCUAAGUGGGUGGUAAAUUCCAUCUAAAGCUAAAUAUUGGCGAGAGACCGAUAGCGAACAAGUACAGUGAUGGAAAGAUGAAAAGAACUUUGAAAAGAGAGUGAAAAAGUACGUGAAAUUGUUGAAAGGGAAGGGCUUGAGAUCAGACUUGGUAUUUUGUAUGUUACUUCUUCGGGGGUGGCCUCUACAGUUUAUCGGGCCAGCAUCAGUUUGGGCGGUAGGAGAAUUGCGUUGGAAUGUGGCACGGCUUCGGUUGUGUGUUAUAGCCUUCGUCGAUACUGCCAGCCUAGACUGAGGACUGCGGUUUAUACCUAGGAUGUUGGCAUAAUGAUCUUAAGUCGC
rnacentral:rRNA from 1 species